rnacentral:rRNA from 1 species
GUAGGUGGCAAGCGUUGUCCGGAAUUAUUGGGCGUAAAGCGCGCGCAGGCGGUCCUUUAAGUCUGAUGUGAAAGCCCACGGCUCAACCGUGGAGGGUCAUUGGAAACUGGGGGACUUGAGUACAGAAGAGGAAAGCGGAAUUCCAAGUGUAGCGGUGAAAUGCGUAGAGAUUUGGAGGAACACCAGUGGCGAAGGCGGCUUUCUGGUCUGUAACUGACGCUGAGGCGCGAAAGCGUGGGGAGCAAACAGGAUUAGAUACCCUGGUAGUCCACGCCGUAAACGAUGAGUGCUAAGUGUUAGGGGGUUUCCGCCCCUUAGUGCUGCAGCUAACGCAUUAAGCACUCCGCCUGGGGAGUACGGCCGCAAGGCUA